ACUGCCACCUAGUGACAGUCCUCUAAUGUAGGAGGGAACUGGAAUUGACCUUGGCUUGCACAACUCAUGAUCAUAAUUACCUUCUAAUUAAGGUUCAGAGCCCGACGACUUGAAGUGAGCUACAUAAGUGGGGACCUGAAUCCGUGUGUUUCUGUUCCACAGGAGAGCCCACUGUGUGAGAGCACACAUCCCUACUGUGCCUUCUAGAGGAACUGUUAGCAGGGCAGGAACACAUAAAGCCUGUUCCAGAAGUGACCACAGAAAUGUCCAUAGGCCGUGCUGUCUGACAAGGGCACAGGGAGCAAGAAGGCCCUUAUACUAGAUUCUUCAGUGGUUGUGGGGAGAGAACGAAGUGAGAGGUUCUGUGUGUUCAUGAAAUACAGCCUCCUCAAAUGAGGAAGGAGGAAGUGUUGCCUGUCUUCACAGGCCAGUGAAGUUCAAGCUUCAAGGAAGCAAGCGUUUCCUGCCGUGGUCCCAGCACCUGAGACCAUUAAGGAAGGUGAUUCUGAAUAGAACGCGUAUGCCAGCAAGCUCAGGUCUAGACCCUUCAGUCCGUGACCCAUUUGGACCUUCCCUUUAGCCAGGAGCUCAACUUUUCAUCUUGAAUUUCAGACUUAGGAUAACAGAAGGAACAUUGGUAGGGAUUAUGGCUACUUUGGGGUACCCAGAGCUCUGGGUUGGCUACAGUUAACAGUUAACUCCUUCGACCAAUCAAUAGAGUCUUCCUUCCAUCUGAGAGGCUUCUGAGAUCUAGUACUCAGUACAGACUGGAGGCUUCACCACAUAAGAAUGCUAUCCUGUUUCUGUUCAGUACAUGUGGAAAGCUCUCCACAAUUGUUUCCCAAAUAAACAAGCCGUCUUGUGCAAGCACCACUGCCCACACUGGGCUUAGGCAGCUCUCAGAGGUUUACUGUACAUUUCCUGGCUUUCUGGGCCUAUCUUUAGGGAUGGAGCCUCUGCUACUCUUUAUUCCACAUCAGGACAGACGUACUUCCAGGUCAAGCCCCAUACCAUCUUCCCAUUGGGAGGGACCAACCCUUGCUGACCUGAAUGAACGGACCGUGCACUGCACUAAAUCUCAGCCCCCGGCCUUUACUGUGGCCUGGGGCCUCAUUCACAAAGAGGCAGACGCUAUGUUUCCGUUAAGUUGUAGGAGUUUAUUUUAAAUAACCUACAGUUGAUUAAAAGGGAAUUCAUGAUAAAAAUAGAAGAUACUUGAGGAAAGAUGUGGGAAUGGACUCUGCACACACACUAAACUAACAAUGCCUCUAAAACUAAUGAUUAUAGCAAAAAAAAAGUCUUCACAUUAAAAUUUUCCUUUUUAUGGUUUUUUCCAUUUUUUACACAAUUACAAAAGAAAAAAAAAAUAAAGCCCUAAAAUCUUGAUUAUUUUUUCCUUUUUGUUUUGUUUUUGUUUUUGUUUUCCUUGGACCAAAUGCUCAUUUUCCUCUAAAUUUAUUGACCUGUGGAAGUUUUUAUACAAUAAAAUCUUUCAAAUGAAAGACUGGGGUUUCCAAAGAAAAAGAUGGAUUUCUUAAAGGGUACAAAGAA